AUGAACGCUGGCGGCGUGCCUAAUACAUGCAAGUCGAGCGAACAGACGAGGAGCUUGCUCCUCUGACGUUAGCGGCGGACGGGUGAGUAACACGUGGAUAACCUACCUAUAAGACUGGGAUAACUUCGGGAAACCGGAGCUAAUACCGGAUAAUAUAUUGAACCGCAUGGUUCAAUAGUGAAAGACGGUUUUGCUGUCACUUAUAGAUGGAUCCGCGCCGCAUUAGCUAGUUGGUAAGGUAACGGCUUACCAAGGCGACGAUGCGUAGCCGACCUGAGAGGGUGAUCGGCCACACUGGAACUGAGACACGGUCCAGACUCCUACGGGAGGCAGCAGUAGGGAAUCUUCCGCAAUGGGCGAAAGCCUGACGGAGCAACGCCGCGUGAGUGACGAAGGUCUUCGGAUCGUAAAACUCUGUUAUUAGGGAAGAACAAAUGUGUAAGUAACUAUGCACGUCUUGACGGUACCUAAUCAGAAAGCCACGGCUAACUACGUG
rnacentral:rRNA from 1 species